CGGACGGGUGAGUAACACGUGGAUAACCUACCUAUAAGACUGGGAUAACUUCGGGAAACCGGAGCUAAUACCGGAUAAUAUUUUGAACCGCAUGGUUCAAAAGUGAAAGACGGUCUUGCUGUCACUUAUAGACGGAUCCGCGCUGCAUUAGCUAGUUGGUAAGGUAACGGCUUACCAAGGCAACGAUGCAUAGCCGACCUGAGAGGGUGAUCGGCCACACUGGAACUGAGACACGGUCCAG
rnacentral:rRNA from 1 species